UUUUUUUGCUUUUUAUUCACGGCUCGGUUUCUUCUGUUCCCAGAGCUUGGCCGAGCCCGCGAUUCCAAACACGAUGUGCCGGAGCUCCGUCCUUUGCUCCGAUUCUGCGAGGGCCGUGCUGUUGCAGAGCUCAAUCUAUCAAUUAGAGCUGGAAAAUUUCUCACAGAAGAGAGAGAGAGGAGGAACGAGAGGGUUUCUUCUUCAAGAGUUCGAGAAUGGCGCCGAUUUUGCGGAGCUCAACCUUGGGUCGAGAAAUAUCAAACGAAGCAAGUGAAGGACGUGGCUCACCGGGACGAGGUGAUAAAGAUGAGCAAGCAAAAGAAAAUGGAGGAUUCGAGUGACAGCCGAGGAAGAAGAGAGUUUCAGAAAUAGAAA